UACAGAGGGUGCGAGCGUUAAUCGGAUUUACUGGGCGUAAAGGGCGCGUAGGCGGUUAAAUGAGUGUGAUGUGAAAGCCCAGGGCUUAACCUUGGAAGUGCAUCGCAAACGAUUUAACUGGAGUAUAUGAGAGGGUGGUGGAAUUUCCGGUGUAGCGGUGAAAUGCGUAGAGAUCGGAAGGAACGUCAAUGGCGAAGGCAGCCGCCUGGCAUAAUACUGACGCUGAGGCGCGAAAGCGUGGGGAGCAAACAGG
rnacentral:rRNA from 1 species